UGACCUGGAAGUGCGCUCUAUUUCAAAAUUAUCUGAAGUGCGCUCUAUUUCAAAAUUAUCUGCAUAUUUUUUUGAUGCAAAAAUUAUCUUCCUAUAAAUUCAUGCCAGGUCAAAUAGCGACAGAGUUGAAAGAAAAUGUAAAACAUUUUUCCCUCCAACAUUUUGUCAUGAUUUAAUCUUAUAUUGAAAAAGAAUUAUCUUACUUAUCCAUAUUUUCUUUUUUAUUUAUUUUUACUUAAAUCAAAAAGAAAAAUAGAUUCUACAUGGUAUAUA
rnacentral:lncRNA from 1 species